GUGAUCGCCAGUCACAGCAGUGUAACGGACUGUUAAGCACACAAGGGGUUAAAAUCAGUUUAGACGAUAUUCCCCUUCCAGGUAGACGAGCAGCUACUGCAAACACAUGAAUACUCCAACUCCUGAACAGGAAACACACGAAUGCUGUAAACAGACGAACAGGAAAAAACAUACGAACAGUUUACACUCCUGGCAGUCGCACUGUAACAGCAUACAAUCCAAUUUCCCCCUAGAACGAGACAACACUUCGUUUGAGGGUCAAGCAGAAC